AUAAAAUGACUCUUUACUUGUCCCCAAUGCAAUGUCAAGCAUUUCUGUCACUGACAAAGGCAAGAUAAAAAUGGCAAAAGAAUCAUGAAUAGCACCAGGCCAAAAUUUACUUCAUUAGGUAAGGAAUAAUCUACUUAAGCAAUCUUUAUCUUAAAGGUAACCAUUUUGUCUAUAUAGUUAAUAUUAGAUCUUUUUGGAUAAUCAGAGCUUUUUAAAAAAAAAAGUUUUGCUUGUUUUUUGUUUCCCCUUCUUCAGCCUUCCCUCUCCGGAGGCCCCCCGUCAGGUUCAAGCCGUUGUUUCAGUCUAGUUGUGUAGGGCACAGCUCCCUGGCCCAUGCAGGUAUUAUGAACCUUGCGGUCCCCCGGCUAAGGCAGCUCCCUGCAGCUUAUGCCAACCUCCAGCUGCUUAUGGCAGCCCAGCUCCAGGGAGAGCUGUUGUUCACAAUCUUAGCUGUAGAGGGCGCAGCUCACUGGCCCAUGUAGGAAUCCAACUGGCCGUCUCCAAGUUAGGAGCACGGCUCUCCAACCACUAGGCUGGCUGGCGGUUUUUUUAAGUUAUAGGUCCAUAAGCACAAAAUUAAAAUUCCCAUAGUGUAGCACAAAUAUCCAUGAUUUUAAGGUUUCCUUGUAUCAAUUAAAAUGGAAGAUUCAAAUUCUCUUAAAAGUUAGUAAAGUUAUACCCAACUUUUCAAAAGGAUUUAGGUUGAGUGCUUUGGUGAGAAUUUCUCAUACAAGUGAUUAGAUUUGAGAUAACAUAUUAUAGAACCAACCAAGUAAAAUGCAGUUUCUGAAAAAUGUAAACUUUCAUUUUGGGAUGUCAACACCACUUCUAAUACAGGAAUCAGGGUCUCUUUUCUAUCUCUGGGGCCACUGAUGGCUCCAGGGGUAUGGGGCUGGAAAUGAAACAGAGGGGACCAUCAUGAUAAUGGUACUAUAAAGCUAAUUAGUGCCUUUGGCUACUUUUCAUUAGGCACUAGCUCUCAGGAUAACACUUUUCUUUCAAUUAAAGAUGCCUACUUCCCUUUCAAGCACCAACUGCCUUCACGGGGGGUGGGGGGGUGGAGAAUGGGGUUAGGGUUUGGAAAGAAAAGACCAUUUCCCCCUGCUUUUAUACUUGAAGUGAGCAUUCUUUUAUGAUUUUUACUAAUGGUGGGAAAAUGUAAAAAGGUUUAAAGGCUCGAUCUUAAAAUACUUCUCCAUGUACGUUUUUUCUUCCCACAUAGAAAAACACUGCUGUACCUAGACACCAACCAUUUUGGGGGCACCAGUUACACUAGAAAGAAAAAAGAAAGAAUUUGGGCUAGUAUGUAAAAGGAGACUCCAUAGCGAAGAGCAGAAUUUGCUGGGCAGGGAGAAAGGGAAAAUGGAGGCGGGUAAGAAAAAGGACCAGAGUGCUCACUGUUUAUCACUGUCAACCUUCUCAUGAAGACUCCAGUGAAGGAGUUUCCAGGGAGGAAAUUUAGUAGCAAAUUUAGGAAGAAAGAGGAGUUCCUCCGGUCUUUGGGCCAGAUAGCUAACAGAAAUUGGUCUUAAGUGGGCCUGGCUGGGACCUGGGGUAGAUGAAUUGGGAACUGCCUAUACAUACAGUAUAGUUAGGAAGUUUCUGGAUAAAAAUUUCUGGAAGCUGAAGUCUUCUUUAUUGACAGAAU